rnacentral:lncRNA from 10 species
GAGGUUCGCGCUGGUGGAGCACCCCAGCUUGCAGGUUCAGCGUGGGUGUCUCUCCCGGGCACAUCGAGCUGUCUAGAGGAACCCUCUUCCCCUGGCUUCACGGCCCAGAGGACGCACGGCUCUCUCCCCUCGAGAGCGUGUUUCGUCGCCCGCGCGGGGAACGCAAAGUGCUAGGGUAGUCACGGCCACUUCACGCCGAGGGACAUCUCAUCUCGCCCUCCAGGUCGUGAGCGCACCCAUUCCGCUCACUGAGGCCGAAAGCUUCGGACCUCCGUGGGCCCUGAGACUUCAGCGUUCCAUGUCUGCUGUGCUGUGGAACCCAGAGUGCUCUUGCCUGGAUGGCUGAGAAUCCCUUGGACCCUGGAAGCACCUACUCCAUGAUGGCCCGCAGGAGGACCAAACUGGAGACAGUCCUGGCUCUGAGGAAACAGGAAGGAAGGAGGGUGAAAGGAACGUCCACCUGCACACAAAGGAAAGAUGAAAAAGAGUCACCUACCAUGGGACCUGGCAAAGUACUUCAGAACUUUUAUUCCUUCCAGAAGCAGAUUCCACACUGCAACUAACUUUUAAGAACCUGCCAGGAGCAGUGGCUCACACCUGUAAUCCCAGCACUUUGGGAGGUUGAGGCAAAAGAAAUCGCUUGAGCCCAGGAGUUUGAGACUACCUGGGCAAGAUGGCAAGACCCCAUUUCUACAAAUAGCCAUGCAUGCCUGUAGUCCCAGCUACUCGGGAGGUGCUUGGUCAACAAAGCAAGACAUCAUCUCUUAAAACAAACAAACAAACAAAAAAAGUUGUUACUUCCAUUGAGUUUUGGUGGAUAUCAGAGAAUAAUAAACACAAUUACCUGAAAGACUAUUAAAAUACCUCCCUUGGCUGGGAGUGGUGGCUCACAGAUGUAAUCCCAGCACUUUGGGAGGCCGAGGUAGGCGGAUUGCUUGAGCCCAGUUUUGAGACCAGCCUGGGCAACAAGGCAAAACUCCAUCUCUACAAAAAAUUAAAAAAUUAGCUGGGCGCCAGUGACAAGGGCCUGUAGUCCCAGCUACUUGGGAGGCUGAGGCAGCAGAAUCACUUGAGCCUGGUAUGUGGAGGUUGCAGUGAGUUGAGAUCACUGCACUGCACUCCAACGUGGGUGACUGGAGUGAAACCCUAUUUUAAAAAAACAAAAACAAACUCCUUUUUCCAAUUACAUAUCUACGCAAGGCUGAAUUUUCUUCCUAUACUUGAACCUAAACAGUGUAUCACAAUAGAUUGAAUCAAGAAGUGACAUUAAGGCCAGCGCGGUGGCUCACGCCUGUAAUCCCACCACUUUGGGAGGCCGAGGCGGGCGGAUCACGAGAUCAGGAGAUCAAGACCAUCCUGGCUAACAUGGUGAAACCCCAUGUCUACUAAAAAUACAAAAAAUUAGCCGGGCAUGGUGGCGGGCGCCUGUAGUCCCAGCUACUCGGGAGGCUGAGGCAGGAGAAUGGCGUGAACCUGGGAGGUGAAGCCUGCAGUGAGCCAAGAUCAUGCCACCGUACUCCCGUACUCCAGCCUGGGCAACAGAGCAAGACUCCAUCUCAA